rnacentral:rRNA from 1 species
CAGUAGCCGCGGUAAUACAGAGGGUGCGAGCGUUAAUCGGAUUUACUGGGCGUAAAGCGUGCGUAGGCGGCUUCUUAAGUCGGAUGUGAAAUCCCUGAGCUUAACUUAGGAAUUGCAUUCGAUACUGGGAAGCUAGAGUAUGGGAGAGGAUGGUAGAAUUCCAGGUGUAGCGGUGAAAUGCGUAGAGAUCUGGAGGAAUACCGAUGGCGAAGGCAGCCAUCUGGCCUAAUACUGACGCUGAGGUGCGAAAGCGUGGGGAGCAAACAGGAUUAGAUACCCGUGUAGUCCCUGUCUCUUAUAA